GCAAAGGCAGCUCUUGGUCUGCGAACUCGUUGAAAAAUCGGCUUCUACAAAGAAAAAAAAUCCAUUGAUUUUCUUAAGUGGAUUCGUGCGUGCCCCGACCCGGAUUUAUGACCUGCCUCCAGAUCCUUAGAAUAAUAAUGGGGGAACCUACUUGACGCAACGCACCGUUAAAUACAGGCGGAGGGAGUGGGUGUCACAGGUCAUAAGACUAGAUGUUCUUACAAACCACGGACUUAUUCGACCGUUCAUGCAACUGUCCGUGCACUUCACCCACAAAUAAACAGAGAUGAACAUAACAGAUGAGCACCGUGACUACCGACACCAGUUCACCUGUCUUGUACACCCAUCAGGCGAGAUGCCAAGACGUCUGCACGGAUGAUCGAAUCCGACCAUAGCAAUAGUUUUCUCCGACAUUAAAUCGCUUAUCAGUGUGACAAGUAAA